rnacentral:ncRNA from 1 species
UUGCUGUACAAAAGGAGAGAAGGUUAGCACUCCCCUUGACUAGGCUGGAAGAAGCCUUUGGGUCUUACAAUAUGCAUACAAGUAUAGCUUUUA